CUGGGGAGCCUGCAUGGGACCGCACUAGGCCCUCUGAAUGCUGCAGGAAGGAGUCCAGUUCUCACAACUUACCUAAUGGAUCUUCAGAUCUAGCGGCCACCACACCCCUGCGAGCCCACCUGAGGAACUCAGGGCCUUUCCUCCACGUCUCUUCUCCCUGGAUGGCCUAAAGGCAAGAGUUUACUCAUUCUGCUGAUUAAGGCGAUAGAACAAGAAGAGGAGAAUAUUUCGGGGCAUAAAAUGGCCAAAAGGAUUAAACACAACCUAGAGGUCAAGGGAAAUGGAAGAUGGAAAAGAGCCGUUGGCUUUCGAGUCUGAGAAACCCGGUAAAGAAAAUGGAGCCAAGCUGGCGGUCCGGAGGAAGACGAAGGGAGCACUGGGCUGCUGGCGGGAAAGGUGAGGAAGAGUGACCGUCUGAGAUGGGAUAUCCAAGACUAAGGUAAAGUGGUGCUGAGAUCCAUGGCUGCAGGUUCAACCAAGUUUAAUAGGAAAACAACUUUGUCUGUGCUGAAUAUGCUCAGACAGUUCUCAUGUCCUUCCCUGGAUAAUAUAGGGCAUUUCUCGUAUUGCAAGAAAUUUAGAGGUGUCUUAGAGUAUUCAGGUGGCUAUAUGUGUAUAUGCAAACACCACACACCAGUUUAUGUUGGGUACUUGAGCAUCUGCAGAUCUUGGCAUCCUUCAGGGUUCCUGGAACCAACAUCCCUAGGAUUUGAAGAGAUGGCUGUAUGUGUCCUAUUUCCUGUGCCAGCUGGUGAAUUUGGAGAGACUAGGGACUGAUAUAUACCAUGUGCCCCUCAGAACUCAUUGCAUGGCAGAGGCUCUGGUCUUGGGCCUUUCCUUUUAUUGUACAUGUUAUCAUAAUGUAUUAAAGGAUGCUUGGAUCAUGUGAACUCUUUUUAGUACCAAUCACAUGAAAAAAUGUGUUCAUUCUGCGUGAUUCUUUAUUGUAUCAAUCUUGAGAACUCAAAGGGGGGAAAAGAAAUUUCUCAUCUAAAUACUCCUAAAAUUACUUCACUCUUUCCUUCUUUUUUCUAGGUUUUAACCUAGUCAGUAUUUAAUUUUAAUUGGUUAUAAUGAGCAUAAAAUAAAUUGUUAUUCUACUUGCCAGAUCACUGCCUUUUGGAGUGAAAUGAAGAAUCAAAUAGAUAUUUUCUGUGUUCCUUUGUGUUUUGUCUUCUUUGCCAUCUUCUUCCUCUUUUUUCUUCUUUUUCUCCACCACCCCUUUCCCAACUUCCUUUUUCUCCAGUGCUGGGGAUCCAACUCUGGGCUUUGCAUACAGAGGGCAGGGUUCCCACUGAGAUAGGGCCCCGGGCUUCUUUAGCAUUUCCUAGUGGUUCCAUAGCUCAUAGGUCUGUCAUCUUUAAUUGUUCUCCUGUAGUUGAACAUAUGGACUUUUUACCUUUUCAGCAUUCCAAGGUAUGUGGGAGUGAAUCUUUCACAUAUAAUUAAAGAAAUGAUUUCCUAAAGGUAAAUUUCUAAAGUAAGAAAUGGGUUUAAAAUUCAAACUCUUAAUAUAUGUGCAGUAAGAUCCUUUCGAACUGUCACACAGUGCAUUUAUUUUGUUACUUUAGCAAAAUUUUGUCCUAAAAAUCUAUUUUUAACCAAGGAAUACACUUAGUCUAUGUUAAUAAGCUGUCAGGUACUAGGAGAGUCAUGUGAUAAUGGGGAAAGAAUGCAGACCUGGCAUUAAGGAGGUCCAGGUUUACUCUAAAGUGGGGGAGCAACUGUGUGAAUAUAUUCAAGUCACUGAAUGUUUUUUCUAGCCUUAGAAUUGUGUGGAUGUGUUUAUCAAAAUGAUAGUUAAUAUCUCUUUCCAUGAGAUGAUUUCUCUUCCCAGUCAUCUGUGCUGGCUAGCUUAAUGUCAACUUGAUACAAGCUACAUCUGAGAGGAGGGAACCUCAAUUGAGAAAAUGCCUCCAUAAGAUCCAGCCGUAAGCAGAAAAGCCUAUAGGACAUUCUCUUAAUUAGGGAUUGAUGGGAGGACGGAGCCCUUUGUGAGUGGUGCCAUCCCUGGGCUGGUGGUGCUGGAGUCAAUAAGAAUGUAGGCUGGGCAAAUCAGUAAGCAGCACCCCUCAAUGGCCUCUGCAUCAGGUCCUGCC